rnacentral:rRNA from 1 species
AACGAACGCUUGCGGCGCGCCUAAUACAUGCAAGUCGAGCGAGAAAGUACUUCGGUAUGAGUAAAGCGGCGGACGGGUGAGGAACACGUAGAUAAUCUGCCUUAGAGUGGGGGAUAACUAAUCGAAAGGUUAGCUAAUACCGCAUAAGACCACAAGGGCUUCGGCUCAAGGGGUUAAAGGAGCAAUUCGCUCUAAGACGUGUCUGCGUCCGAUUAGCUAGUUGGUGAGGUAAUGGCUCACCAAGGCAACGAUCGGUAACUGGUCUGAGAGGAUGACCAGUCACACUGGAACUGAGACAUGGUCCAGACUCCUACGGGAGGCAGCAGUAGGGAAUAUUGCACAAUGGACGAAAGUCUGAUGCAGCGACGCCGCGUGAGUGAUGAAGGCCUUCGGGUUGUAAAACUCUGUGAUAAGGGAAGAUGAUGACGGUACCUUAUCAGAAAAGACCGGCUAACUUCGUGCCAGCCGCCGCAGUAACAC